UUGGAACCUCCGAGCUCACACGCCACGACGCAUUGAGGCCCCAUUGUGCCUUGCCUCCCAGCCCGGCUGAAAAGCUUGAGGAAUCCCUCCAGUGUGGUAUGUUCAUGCCACACAAACAUACACAUAGCUCGGUCUAGCUCAUUUUGCUUCGUCGAUCAACUUCUCUGCUUUCUCAGUUCAGGUCAUUGGCAUAAGUUGCAGGUGCCCUGGAUUCAGUGACUGGAGCUAGCAAAGGUUGUUUCCAGUUCAUGCGGGACUGUAUCUAGUUUGCAAUGGAUCAAUGGUUGGAGCAAGGCUCAGAGGGCUCAGAGGGGUGUGGAUGGCCGGAACAGAUAUUUCCAUACAGAAGGAGUAGCUCAUGUGUUUUCUCAUAACAAAAGAUCAAAUGUUUUAAUUUCUCUUCCCUGUUGAGGUCUUUGUUUGAUUCCUUUGCAGCGAGCCUACUUCAAGUGCACUCUUCUCCACACUAGCAUUGUCAUCCACUUCUUCAUGCUCUCCCCCACUAGCCUGUCCAUACAAUCUCCGUUACAAACGCGCCAAGACAACUGCUAAGGCAAGUGACAUGUUCAUUAUGUACUGAGUUUGUCUACUUUUAUGUCUCUUGCGUUUUCUUCUUUGUUAAAUAAAAUUGCAGCUCCUACCUACUCAAACUAUGCAUUGUACAACUGGGCUCAGAUGGCUAACAUCCAUGCCAAUUGGGAUGAGGAGACAACAAAAACGUUCCUCAACCUCUGCAUUGCUGAGAAAAACCAACUGAAUUGGAGCAACAAGUGCCUAACUAAGUUGGGAUGGCAACACGUCUACCACACCUUCAAACAACAGCAACUGAAAAGCUGUUCGGUUGAGAUUGCUGAUGCAGCUGCAGCUGCAGCAGCCAAGUGAGGCGUUUGAGAGGCGUUUGAGACUGGGCUGUGGGCCUUUGGCCUUUAUGCAGCUGCUUGUGCAGCCAGCAGAAGCCAACACACCGAACCUUGCAGUUGCAGGCCAUUGUACGGGCCCUCGAAUUCUAGCGAGUCUCAAUGGAACAUGAGCACUGUAGGACUCCGGAGGUCUUGAGCACUUACAUAUCCUUGCAGCGCAAGAAGUCAAGAACAGCUUCAGCUCUCACCUCUCAGUUCCCCUCACGUAGCCAUCUUACGCUGGCACCGCGGCACCGGCCCAAAUCCUCCGGCAACUGCUUCCGCGAGACUUUCGGUGCUCCUGCCGACCAAGGUUGCCGACGAUUCCUCCGCCCGGGCAGAAACUUCCAAGCAAAUUAUCAUGGCCCACAAAGAAGCUUCCCUGAAAUUUCCCCUUUGAAUGUUGAACCUUAGUCGCUAAGCAUAGAAACUUCUGCGAGCCUUCAAGAGCAUCGUUUUUCUCCGAUCCGGAGCUGCCCGUCGUCGCCCUGUCCCUAUCCCACCAGACUGCGCCAUGUCGCUCUCGGAACCUCUGAGUUCACACGCCACGACGCAUUGAGGCCCCAUUGUGCCUUGCCUCCCAGCCCGGCUGAAAAGCUUGAGGAAUCCCUCCAGUGUGGUAUGUUCAUGCCACACAAACAUACACAUAGCUCGGUCUAGCUCAUUUUGCUUCGUCGAUCAACUUCUCUGCUUUCUCAGUUCAGGUCAUUGGCAUAAGUUGCAGGUGCCCUGGAUUCAGUGACUGGAGCUAGCAAAGGUUGUUUCCAGUUCAUGCGGGACUGUAUCUAGUUUGCAAUGGAUCAAUGGUUGGAGCAAGGCUCAGAGGGCUCAGAGGGGUGUGGAUGGCCGGAACAGGUGCAGGCAACUCGGAACAUAAAUUGCAUCAUCUUACUUUGUACUCCUUCCGUUCCAAAUUACAUGUCGUUUUAGCUUUCAA